CUCCCCCCACCCUGCUCCACUACC
rnacentral:misc_RNA from 1 species